GUCUCUGGUAGUGGUUGUUGUUGGUUUGACAGUGGCGUUGGUGUUGUGUGGGAUUGGGAUCAUCUUCCUUGCCUGCACCAGAAGUAAAGAGCAAGUCUGCGACAAUUGCAAAGCAGUAGAUGCCUGUCGGGGAGGAAGACAUAAUGGAUUAAGGGGAGAACAGGAUCAAGAUGGAGAUACGAUGAAUUAUGCUGCAUUGAAUUUCUCUGAGAGGAAAACUAGAAGAGGAAGAAAGAAGAGAGAGACACCACAGGAGAGUGUGUACUCUGAUGUCAGGUAUUCAGACUGGGAGUGAACUUUGUUUAUGUGCAGGGGAACUUAGCCAGUGAACUUAGCAUCAUCAUUCUAAAAUGUAACAUUAAUAAUACUUACAUGUGUAAGUCAGUGCCCCUUCUACACAGAGAAUUUGAAAA